rnacentral:misc_RNA from 1 species
AUGGAUCACACGGGCCCCA